GAAGUACUCAUAAUGUGAUUUUUUUUAUAUAUUAAGAAUUACAAAAUAAUGUAUUUGAUUGGUAAUGUAAAAAAGGGAACAUAAUUAUAACUUUAUAGACUAUAUAUAUUAUAGGUGUCGAACGGGUUGGGUUGAUCCGGGACCGGCCCGGCUCGAUACUUAGGGGGCCGAGUAGGCUAGGUUACUGAGAUUAGGGGGUUGGUCCAUUCACUUUAAUUCCUCCGGUUAACCGGAUCGGUCAACCAAAAUUCAUGUAGAACCGUUUAACCGGCUCGGCCCAGGCCGAUUUAAAGGCUAGAUUUUUUUUUUAAAGCUUUGAGGGUCUAAGGCAGCAAAACCUUUGAAUUAACUUUUUUCGUUAAUUUACUUGUUAAAUGUAAACCUUUCAAUUUGUAAGUUUGAAUUUUGAAAUAAAUGUAACACUUGUAAUUUAUAAGUACAAUUUUUUCCCAUCUUCAUUGUAUUCUUUAUCUUAAUAUAACUUAAAUAGUCAAUUUAAAGUGCAAUUUUUUUCCCGUCGUCAUUGUAUUCUUUUUAUUUUUACUUUAUACUAAUAUAGAUUACAAUUGUUAUAUAAAAUACAAAUAAUAAUAAUAAUAAUAAUAUACUAACCCGGCCAGGUCCGACCCCUUGUACCCGUAACCUUUACGAUUUAUUUUUUACCCGGAUGAACCCGAACCCGUUAGCCCGUUAACCUCUAGCCCGUAACUGGUCCGGUUCGAAAUCCGGAUAAUUUCAACUUUUCCUUACCUAGCCCAGUCCGGCCCACCCAUUAGACACCCUUAAUAUAUAUUGUGAAAUUUUUUAUUUUGUCAAUCCAUAAAUCCUUAUUACAUAGAUACUAUGCUAGAAUUGUUAUCCGAUAAACUACUUCGUCACCAAAUAAAAGUUAUCGUAUAGCGGAGUUAUAUUUAAUGAGGUAAAAAACAAUUUAUCAAAUUAUUCAUGAAUUUUUCAGUAAUAAAUCGUAAGUUCAAUUACCAUAACUAGUAAACUUUAUUGAGGCUAACGUGGUAUAGUGAUCCAUUUAAUAUUUUUUUAUUUAUCAAUAUUGCAUGCUUAUUAAGACUUCAGGUGAAUUCUGAGGAACAUUGUUAGAGUUCAAUGAUUCUAUACUUGGCGCGCAACUUUUGGAAAAGCUGAAAGAUUCUUCUCUAGUGAUACCAAAUUUGAUAAGAAAUUCAAGUUUGUUUUCACUUAAUAAAAAACAUUAAUUUGAUAAGGUUUUUUCGCAUACAAACGGGGGACAUGACCUGAGGCUUGCGUAUUUAGCUGUAUAAAAGUAAGAAUUAACAAAGUAUGACGGUAAAUUUGAAGCAAAUGCGGCUUAGUAAAAAUAAUGCUCUAAAGCCAGAUUCCAAUAAGUAAAUUUUAAUUUUAAUAAAAUUUAGCUGAAUUUAGAGGGGCGGAAUGGAUUCAUCUUAACCCUUUCACCGAAAAAUCAUACUGUAUAUAUGAAGUAUAAUUUUUUAUUUUUUAUUUUUAUAUAUUAUAUUUAAACAUUUUUGAUAGAACCUAAAAGCAUAGGUUAGUGGUCAAGAAAAUUUAAUACAUUUGUGGUCACUUGUUUAAUUUUCACUAACCAUAAUUUUUUUUAAUUUUUAUCUUUUUUCUUUCUUGAUUUUCCUUAUAAAAAUCCUGCCUCCGCCAUUAAUCAUCAUCAUACUAUAUUAAAAGUUGAAAUUGAGUUACUAAAUCAUUAUCCAUCAAAA
rnacentral:lncRNA from 1 species